AGAAAUCGUGAGGGUUCGAGUCCCUCUAUCCCCAAAACGACCCGGUUGAC
rnacentral:tRNA from 1 species